UGCAGUCGAACGGUGAAAGAGGAGCUUGCUCCUCUGGAUCAGUGGCGAACGGGUGAGUAACACGUGAGCAAUCUGCCCUGGACUCUGGGAUAAGCGUUGGAAACGACGUCUAAUACCGGAUACGCGACGCGAAGGCAUCUUCAGCGUCGGGAAAGAACUUCGGUCCAGGAUGAGCUCGCGGCCUAUCAGCUAGUUGGUGAGGUAACGGCCCACCAAGGCGACGACGGGUAGCCGGCCUGAGAGGGUGACCGGCCACACUGGGACUGAGACACGGCCCAGACUCCUACGGGAGGCAGCAGUGGGGAAUAUUGCACAAUGGGCGCAAGCCUGAUGCAGCAACGCCGCGUGAGGGACGACGGCCUUCGGGUUGUAAACCUCUUUUAGUAGGGAAGAAGCGAAAGUGACGGUACCUGCAGAAAAAGCACCGGCUAACUACGUGCCAGCAGCCGCGGUAAUACGUAGGGUGCAAGCGUUAUCCGGAAUUAUUGGGCGUAAAGAGCUCGUAGGCGGUUUGUCGCGUCUGCUGUGAAAACUGGAGGCUCAACCUCCAGCCUGCAGUGGGUACGGGCAAACUAGAGUGCGGUAGGGGAGAUUGGAAUUCCUGGUGUAGCGGUGGAAUGCGCAGAUAUCAGGAGGAACACCGAUGGCGAAGGCAGAUCUCUGGGCCGUAACUGACGCUGAGGAGCGAAAGCAUGGGGAGCGAACAGGAUUAGAUACCCUGGUAGUCCAUGCCGUAAACGUUGGGCGCUAGAUGUGGGGACCAUUCCACGGUUUCCGUGUCGCAGCUAACGCAUUAAGCGCCCCGCCUGGGGAGUACGGCCGCAAGGCUAAAACUCAAAGGAAUUGACGGGGGCCCGCACAAGCGGCGGAGCAUGCGGAUUAAUUCGAUGCAACGCGAAGAACCUUACCAAGGCUUGACAUAUACCUGAAAAGGCUGGAAACAGUCUCCCCGCAAGGCAGGUAUACAGGUGGUGCAUGGUUGUCGUCAGCUCGUGUCGUGAGAUGUUGGGGUUAAGUCCCGCAACGAGCGCAACCCUCGUUCUAUGUUGCCAGCACGUAAUGGUGGGAACUCAUAGGA
rnacentral:rRNA from 1 species